rnacentral:rRNA from 1 species
ACCCAGACUCCUACGGGAGGCAGCAGUGGGGGAUAUUGCACAGUGGGGGAAACCCUGAUGCAGCGACGCCGCGUGAGUGAAGAAGUAUUUCGGUAUGUAAAGCUCUAUCAGCAGGGACGAAAAUGACGGUACCUGACUAAGAAGCCCCGGCUAACUACGUGCCAGCAGCCGCGGUAAUACGUAGGGGGCGAGCGUUAUCCGGAUUUACUGGGUGUAAAGGGAGCGUAGACGGUUUUUCAAGUCUGAAGUGAAAGCCCGCGGCUCAACUGCGGAACGGCUUUGGAAACUGAGGGACUAGAGUGCUGGAGGGGCAGGCGGAAUUCCUGGUGUAGCGGUGAAAUGCGUAGAUAUCAGGAGGAACACCGGUGGCGAAGGCGGCCUGCUGGACAGUAACUGACGUUGAGGCUCGAAAGCGUGGGGAGCAAACAGGAUUAGAUACCCCCGUAAU